UACGGGGGGGGCAAGCGUUGUUCGGAAUUACUGGGCGUAAAGGGCUCGUAGGCGGCCAACUAAGUCGGAUGUGAAAUCCCCAGGCUUAACCUGGGAACUGCAUCCGAUACUGGAUGGCUUGAAUCCGGGAGAGGGAUGCAGAAUUCCAGGUGUAGCGGUGAAAUGCGUAGAUAUCUGGAGGAAUACCGGUGGCGAAGGCGGCAUCCUGGACCGACACUGACGCUGAGGCGCGAAAGCUAGGGUAGCAAACGGG
rnacentral:rRNA from 1 species